UGGAUCACCUCCUAACAGGGAGAACCAACCUCAAAUGAUGAUCACCACUUUUUAGUGAUCCAUUUGACUGUUCAUUCCUAAGGUCGAUCGGUACCUCAGUGAGUGAUAAUCACUCAUCUCGGUCCUUAAGCUUGUCUAGGUCACCACCCCUUAGCUGAUAAGCUUUGUGGGAUGGGCCCGAGAGGGUUCCUGGGCCAUUAGCUCAGGUGGUUAGAGCGCACCCCUGAUAAGGGUGAGGUCCCUGGUUCAAGUCCAGGAUGGCCCAUCGGGAUUGGGGGUUUAGCUCAGCUGGUAGAGCGCCUGCUUUGCAAGCAGGAUGUCAGCGGUUCGAGUCCGCUAACCUCCAUUAGUCUUGAUAAUGGAACUGUGGCGCAGGGUGACUUAGAAGGAUGUUGGUGAUUCCAGCCUCGUUUGAUUCUUGUUUCAAAGUUCAAACGAUGCUGGGCUCAGCAAUGGGUUCAGCAAGAACCUUGACAACUGCAUAGGUAAGUCUGGAAAUAAAGCAUCUCACAGAGAUGAUCCAGGCAUGAUGUGAUUCACGUUACGGCGUGAUUUGCUUCAUGUUUGGUUCAACAAUUCUGGAGAAAAGCCGAGUCCUGAAUCAAUUUGAUCAGGAACAAAAUGGUCAAGCUACAAAGGGCUCACGGCGGAUACCUUGGCACACAGAGGCGAUGAAGG
rnacentral:tRNA from 1 species